GAUGGUAGUGUAUUGGACUACCAUGGCUCUCACGGGUAACGGGGAAUUAGGGUUCGAUUCCGGAGAAGGAGCCUGAGAAACGGCUACUACAUCUACGGAAGGCAGCAGGCGCGUAAAUUACCCAAUCCUGACUCAGGGAGGUAGUGACAAGAUAUAACGACGCGACUAAACAUCGCGAUUGUAGUGAGGGUAUUCCAAACCGAACCACUAGUACGAUUGGAGGGCAAGUCUGGUGCCAGCAGCCGCGGUAAUA
rnacentral:rRNA from 1 species